rnacentral:rRNA from 1 species
AGAUUGAACGCUGGCGGCAGGCCUAACACAUGCAAGUCGAGCGGUAGAGAGGUGCUUGCAUCUCUUGAGAGCGGCGGACGGGUGAGUAAUGCCUAGGAAUCUGCCUAGUGGUGGGGGAUAACGUUCGGAAACGGACGCUAAUACCGCAUACGUCCUACGGGAGAAAGCGGGGGACCUUCGGGCCUCGCGCCAUUAGAUGAGCCUAGGUCGGAUUAGCUAGUUGGUGAGGUAAUGGCUCACCAAGGCGACGAUCCGUAACUGGUCUGAGAGGAUGAUCAGUCACACUGGAACUGAGACACGGUCCAGACUCCUACGGGAGGCAGCAGUGGGGAAUAUUGGACAAUGGGCGAAAGCCUGAUCCAGCCAUGCCGCGUGUGUGAAGAAGGUCUUCGGAUUGUAAAGCACUUUAAAGUUGGAGUAAGGGUUGUAACCUAAUACGUUGACAACUUUGACGUCAACCGACAGAAUAAGCAACCGGCUAACUUCG